rnacentral:rRNA from 1 species
UCGAGGAUCUUCGGCAAUGGGCGCAAGCCUGACCGAGCGACGCCGCGUGUGCGAUGAAGGCCUUCGGGUUGUAAAGCACUGUCGAGGGGAAGAAAGCCGCAAGGUUGAUCGACCCCUGGAGGAAGCACGGGCUAAGUUCGUGCCAGCAGCCGCGGUAAGACGAACCGUGCGAACGUUGUUCGGAUUCACUGGGCUUAAAGGGCGCGUAGGCGGGUGAUCAAGUCAGGGGUGAAAUCUUUCGGCUCAACCGGAAAAGUGCCUUUGAUACUGGUCAUCUCGAGGGAGGUAGGGGCAUGUGGAACUUCCGGUGGAGCGGUGAAAUGCGUAGAUAUCGGAAGGAACGCCGGUGGCGAAAGCGACGUGCUGGACCUUUUCUGACGCUGAGGCGCGAAAGCCAGGGGAGCAAACGGGAUUAGAUACCCCCGUAGUCC